rnacentral:rRNA from 1 species
GAUGAACGCUAGCGGCAGGCUUAACACAUGCAAGUCGAGGGGUAUAGCAGCAAUGCUAGAGACCGGCGCACGGGUGCGUAACGCGUAUGCAAUCUGCCUUUCACAAAGGGAUAGCCCAGAGAAAUUUGGAUUAAUACCUUAUAGUAUAUUUAUGUGGCAUCACAUGAUUAUUAAAGAUUUAUCGGUGAAAGAUGAGCAUGCGUCCCAUUAGCUAGUUGGUAAGGUAACGGCUUACCAAGGCAACGAUGGGUAGGGGUCCUGAGAGGGAGAUCCCCCACACUGGUACUGAGACACGGACCAGACUCCUACGGGAGGCAGCAGUGAGGAAUAUUGGACAA